rnacentral:snRNA from 1 species
AAGCAUGUCUGUCGGCAAGGGAGAUACCAUGAUCACGAAGGUGGUUUUCCUAGGGCGAGGGUUAUCCAUUGCACUCCAGAUGUGCUAACCCCUAUGAUUUCCCCCAAAUGUGGGAAACUCGACUGGAUAAUUUGUGGUAGUGGGGGACUGUGUUCAAGGUCUCCUC